CUGGCUCUUCAUAGCCCGCCCCGGCUGUCAGCGCUGCCACGGACGGGCCAUGGAGGUCACGGAUGAAGAGUUGCCGGCGUCGUGCAGAAUUACCUGUUCUUACGAUGUAGGCUGCCCAAAGCCCAGCAGACUGCAGUGCCUUCACCUGCCAGCGAGGUGUGAGCUGUUCCUGCCCCUGGCAGAGCCCAGGGCUCGCAGCCAAGGCUCUGCAUCCAGCCCUCAGAGCACAUCAAACCCACCACACACGUUCUUUCAUCUUGCUUAGUGCACUACAUGAUAGCUAAAACGUACGAGUACUUUUCUUUGUUUGAUCUUUUUUCUGUUCCAGAAAAUACUCUAUUUGUUUCAUAGGACGAGGUUAGCCUUAUUUGAUCAGAACUUGUGGAUGCCUGAGCCAGGAUCCUGUCUGCUGUAGCACCUUGCCUCAGACGCUCCAGAGAAAGUCUCAGUACCUUACACUAAGGAGAUGUGUUCAUUUUGUCUCUUUCCUGUUCCAGCACAAGAACUCACUUAAAUUUUCCCUCCACCAACCCCUUUUACUAAUUUGAACCAUUAUUUUUUUUCUUAGCUGAUUCAAUUUUCAUAUCGCCUGUUGUUACUGAAGUGUAUGGGAUGGCAUUAAACACACCAGUAUUUAGGUCAGCCUAAGAGUGGACUGAAUAACUUGAAUAAUAACUGCUGCAGGCAGCAUCUGCUGUUUCUUGGCUGUUCUUCAAGAUACAUCCUUUAAUUUUCUGUUACUGAUUCUACUCUGCCUAACAGAGGUUAAAACUGUGGUGAUGACAUGGAUGGUAUUUACAUAACUAUUUCCCCUCCCAGUGUUCUCCAGAACUGAUAAACACUCGAGAGUGGACUUGGAUUUCUGAAAACCUUAUUACUGUUUCCUUCACCAAAGGUUCUUAAAGAGAUUUGGUUGCCAUGGAAGAUUAACAUAAAAUCCUUAUUUAAAAUAGAAUAAGGAAUAAAAGGUUUUUACAGUAAAAUCCCCCAGAGUUCUGUGCUAGGAUUUGUACUGUUUAGCAUGCUCAUUUUAGUUUUUUUAGUAUUUUUGCUCGUUUUUAAAUUUCUAGUAGCUUUUGUUUAUUUUAUCCCUCUUUACUUUGUAGUUUCCAUAAUUUUAUGUCCUUUCCUGAGGGUUGAUCCUCAUUCAGAAGCAUCCAGAAAAGAUUAUUCCUAAGGGAUGGCAGUGCUGGAAGGGUGAUCCAGACUGGCUAGGGCAAGGAGUGAGGCUGAGAUCUGUGUAAAAACAAGGCAGGCUGUGCAGGUCGGGUAAUCUGGGAUUAUGUCAGGAGAGAUCAGCCUCACCCGUGUGCUCCUGGCUGCUGCAUCCAGGUCAGACGGGCUCUGGGUGGCUGAGUGUUCACCCAGACAGAGCAGAGUCAGCACUGCAAGGGUUUGGUUGCAUCUGCCUUGAAAUAAAAUCAGCUCCAUACAGGAAUCUGCCCAGUUUUUACAUCUUUCAAGUCACAGCUAAGCGGGGCACAUCCCAGCACUGGGCAGCUGUGCCUGGAGCUCAGCCAUGGGGCAGAAUGGGAACAAAGGGAUCUCUGUGCCUUAUGUAGAAUAAGGUGGCUUGGGUUUAUUUUUUAAGCCUGGUUGGAGAUUUCUUCAUGAGCUGCAGUUUAUAUGAAUGUCUGUCAGUACAUUCUGGGUUUGUGCCAAUCAAGGAUUAUGACCUAUAUUAACAUCCCAGAAACAGGGGAGGCCAGCCAGGCCUGCACCUCAUGCCAGGACUGCAGUUCCAUCUCCUGAUGUCUGAUAUCCACUGUUACUACAUUUUAAAGUCAGGUUUCAAUUACUUCUCUCAACAGGAACUUAUUUAAAAUGUGUUCACUCCUCUUGAUAGUGCAUCCCUUGCCAUCUUGACAAAGCACCUGACAAUCUCUCAGUGAGGGCUGUCUUAACUUUCUUAACAAAACAGAAGAAUGGCAUUUGCUACAAUAUUUAAUUGCUAUUCAUAAAAAUAAAAUGCAGUUCCUAGGGAGGUUUUUUAUUAUUUUCAAUGGGAUUUACAUCAUUAUAUCCAGGAAUAUGAACAGUUCAGACAUAACUCGGUAGCUGGCUGACAAAAGCCCCAUAUCCAGACACUUGAAUUUUCCCACACUUUGUAUGGCAUAAUGCAUCUCACUGAUAGUUAAAAAAUACUGUUGAAAAAUCCUAAUUACAGGACUGCAUCUGAAAGGGAUUUUCCAAGCACCUGGCAACAAAGAUGUCAGAAUGUAAAGACACCAAACACUGACCCUUGGUGGUUAGUCAUGUACUUGCACAUUUCUCGCCUUUAGAAAACAAGAUAGAAAAAUCUUUCUCCACUUUCCAAUCAAAUUUAGUAGCUCAGUUGAUUUGAUUUCUGGAAGUCUGAAGUUUCUGAGCAUCUUUCAAAAGCUUUAGAAGCAUCCAGUAAUCCCCAUGGUGUUCUGUAAUGCUGAGGCACAUCUGAAUUUUUAGAUGCAGAAACCAGAAUCAAAUCAAUUCCCAAUACACGUGCAAUGAAUUACACAAUACAAACUGCUCUGAUACCUGCUGGGCCACACAUCCCUUCACACCUUGUCACAAUCGCUGGCACCUUCCUGCCACUUUUGAAUCAAGCUGUGUGUUGGAAGUUACUCUGUUUUCAUGAAAGCAUUGACUGUUUAGUCUCCAAAUGUGGCCAGUUUAGAAGUUACUAAAUGGAGUUUAUUCAGCAUAACUGAACAUCUAAAAAUCAUAAAAUAGGAAUUAAAAGCCACUGCUGUAAACUGGAGUUGUUUGAUUGGCCAAAGGCUCUCAGUGUCUUGCUGGUCUCUACAGGUUUUGUUUCCCUAUUGCUUUUUCCCUGCAGAUGCUCAGUGGUACUUUCCAGGUCAGUCAAGCCCUGAGGGAAAAGGGAGCAAUGUCAGGAUGAUGAAUGUAAAAUUUUUCACUCUUUUACUGAAGUAUCUGUUUUGUAAAAUAUUUUCCCUGGCUGCUAUAGGAGAUGAAAGUAAUUAAAAUCUAUUCAUUAUCAAAUUAGUAGGAAUUCUGGCUAUUUUGUAUGUUCUGAAAAUUAAUACCUUUCCUGAGAGUAUCUUCAUUAAAGGAGUCUCAUAGUCAGGCUUUUCUGAAAGGUGGCAAUAUUUUCACAUGGAAUAAGCAUCUUUCAAGUAUUUUCACAUUAGAUGGAAAUAUUUUCAUCACUUGAGGCCCUUCUUUGGAAGUCAUUCAACUAUGAGAACAUUUGCUUUAAAUAAAAGAGUGUUUAAGCCAGUGGGAUUCCUGAAAUUCCUGAGCCAUUUAUGCUCUUUUUUACACUUUUCUUAGCACAUCUUAACUCAGUGAACAUUUCCUUAUCCCUACAGAUUUAAUGCUGGUAAGAAACAGUCAUCUCAUUAAAACUCUGAAGGCUUGGGGCAGCACUUCCAGUCUUUUAUAAUUAAUUUUGUUUUGACGAGUCAUUUCUGGGCUCCUUGGUUGCAGACUUCCAGAUAGAGUUAUCUUAGCCCAUGUGAUACAGUGAGUGUGUACAUAAAGUACAGAUGCAUGCACGCCUUUCAUACAGAAUAAUAAUAUUGUUUACUAUAGGAGCUUCAGAAAAAAAUAACAGCUACUUUUCCAAAUAAUACUUAAGGUUUAUCAUAUGCCAGCGAGGUAGGCAUUAAUAAACUCAAAGAGAAAAGAUGGAAAUAGAGCCACAGAACCAAAAUCUGUGAUAUCUCAUUAAAUUCCAUAAAAAGCUGUACUGGAGACAAAGCAGGCCCGAGGUGGAAAAUUACCAACCUAUAUUUACAAGAGAUACUGUGACCAUAUUUUGUAAUUGCAUCUUUUGGCUUCAUCCAGCAAGAGAGAAACGGUAACAUCCUUAAGGAAUGAUCUGUCUCAACUAUUUCAGGGAAACAUCUCAGAACUGGCAACUUUUAAGGACAGUGACUUGAACAGAAUAAAAUAUUUACAGAAUAAAA